rnacentral:rRNA from 1 species
CCUACGGGAGGCAGCAGUGAGGAAUAUUGGUCAAUGGCCGGAAGGCUGAACCAGCCAUGCCGCGUGAAGGUCAGUGCCCUAUGGGCGUUAAACUUCUUUUGUGCGGGAGCAAUAAUAGUCACGUGUGGCCAGACGAGAGUACCGUACGAAUAAGCAUCGGCUAACUCCGUGCCAGCAGCCGCGGUAAUACGGGGGAUGCAAGCGUUUUCCGGAUUUAUUGGGUUUAAAGGGUGCGUAGGCUGUGAGGUAAGUCAGCGGUGAAAUGCCCCCGCUCAACGGGGUGAAGUGCCAUUGAUACUGCCUUGCUGGAAUGCGGAUGCGGUGGGAGGAAUGUGUGGUGUAGCGGUGAAAUGCAUAGAUAUCACACAGAACACCGAUUGCGAAGGCAGCUCACGAAUCCGCGAUUGACGCUGAUGCACGAAAGCGUGGGUAUCAAACAGGAUUAGAUACCCUUGUAGUC